GAUGAACGCUGACAGAAUGCUUAACACAUGCAAGUCAACUUGAAUUUGGGUUUUAACUUAGAUUUGGGUGGCGGACGGGUGAGUAACGCGUAAAGAACUUGCCUCACAGGUAGGGACAACAUUUGGAAACGAAUGCUAAUACCUAAUAUUAUGAUAAUAGGGCAUCCUAAUAUUAUGAAAGCUAAAUGCGCUGUGAGAGAGCUUUGCGUCCCAUUAGCUAGUUGGAGAGGUAACGGCUCACCAAGGCGAUGAUGGGUAGCCGGCCUGAGAGGGUGAUCGGCCACAAGGGGACUGAGACACGGCCCUUACUCCUACGGGAGGCAGCAGUGGGGAAUAUUGGACAAUGGACCAAGAGUCUGAUCCAGCAAUUCUGUGUGCACGAUGAAGUUUUUCGGAAUGUAAAGUGCUUUCAGUUGGGAAGAAACAAAUGACGGUACCAACAGAAGAA
rnacentral:rRNA from 1 species